GAUGAACGCUAGCGGCAGGCCUAACACAUGCGAGUCGAGGGGCAGCACAUAAAGUGGUUUACUACUUUUGGUGGCGACCGGCGGACGGGUGCAUAACGCGUAUGCAACCUGCCUCCAACAGGGGGAUAACGGAGAGAAAUUUCCACUAAUACCCCAUAAUAUCAGAAUCGGCAUCGGUUUUGGUUGAAAACUCCGGUGGUUGGAGAUGGGCAUGCGUUGUAUUAGAUAGUUGGUGAGGUAACGGCUCACCAAGUCAACGAUACAUAGGGGGACCGGGAAGUUAGCCCCCCACACUGGUACUGGGACACGGACCAGACUUCUACGGAGGGCAGCAGUGAGGAAUAUUGGUCAAUGGGGGCAACCCUGAACCAGCCAUGCCGCGUGCAGGAAGACGGCUCUAUGAGUUGUAAACUGCUUUUACAAGGGGAUAAAUCGGUGUACGUGUACACCGUUGAAGGUACCUUGGGAAUAAGGAUCGGCUAACUCCGUGCCAGCCGCCGCGGUAA
rnacentral:rRNA from 1 species